GACGAACGCUGGCGGCGUGCUUAACACAUGCAAGUCGAACGGAAAGGCCCUGCUUUUGUGGGGUGCUCGAGUGGCGAACGGGUGAGUAACACGUGAGUAACCUGCCCUUGACUUUGGGAUAACUUCAGGAAACUGGGUCUAAUACCGGAUAGGAGCUCCUGCUGCAUGGUGGGUGUUGGAAAGUUUCGGCGGUUGGGGAUGGACUCGCGGCUUAUCAGCUUGUUGGUGGGGUAGUGGCUUACCAAGGCUUUGACGGGUAGCCGGCCUGAGAGGGUGACCGGCCACAUUGGGACUGAGAUACGGCACAGACUCCUACGGGAGGCAGCAGUGGGGAAUAUUGCACAAUGGGCGGAAGCCUGAUGCAGCAACGCCGCGUGCGGGAUGACGGCCUUCGGGUUGUAAACCGCUUUCGCAUGUGACGAAGCGUGAGUGACGGUAAUGGGUAAAGAAGCACCGGCUAACUACGUG
rnacentral:rRNA from 1 species